CACAGGUAAACACAAUCAACCAGCAGCAAAAUUAUUUUGUCACAAUAACAUCUAAGCUAAGAUGAAGUUCACUCUAGCACUACUCGUGACCCUCGCUUUCAUCAUACUUGUAUCAGAUGGAAAAACACAACAUUGCACAGAAACAACUAUUGGACUUUUCUGGUGUCUGUUCAGCCAGUUCUUGUGAGAAUGGUUGCAAUCAAAAGUACAAGAACGUGUGUCGUCCAAAUGAUGAGUGUGUAUGGAAGGCGAAUUGUGUUGGAACGAUAUGCAAGUGCAGGGUGUGCACAUUUAGCUCCCUCCGCAUACAGGGCUCCAAAAAGGGGAACAGUGAUGCUAACUAGUUGCCCAUUUAAUUUUUGUUGUUAUGAGAAUAAGAGUGGGAAUAUUAUAAUAUAGAUAUAAGCUGGAAAAUGAUGUAUUACAAAAAUAAUAAUAGAAGUGAUGCUUG